rnacentral:rRNA from 1 species
AGAGUUUGAUCCUGGCUCAGGAUGAACGCUAGCGGCAGGCCUAACACAUGCAAGUCGAGGGGUAGAAGUCUUCGGACUUUGAGACCGGCGCACGGGUGCGUAACGCGUAUGCAAUCUGCCUUACACUAAGGGAUAGCCCAGAGAAAUUUGGAUUAAUACCUUAUAGUAUAUUGAUGUGGCAUCACAUUAUUAUUAAAGAUUUAUCGGUGUAAGAUGAGCAUGCGUCCCAUUAGCUAGUUGGUAUGGUAACGGCAUACCAAGGCAAUGAUGGGUAGGGGUCCUGAGAGGGAGAUCCCCCACACUGGUACUGAGACACGGACCAGACCCCUACGGGAGGCAGCAGUGAGGAAUAUUGGUCAAUGGUCGCAAGACUGAACCAGCCAUGCCGCGUGCAGGAUGAAGCAUCUAUGGUGUGUAAACCGCUUUUGUACGGGAAGAAACACCCCUUCGUGAAGGGGCUUGACGGUACCGUAAGAAUAAGGAUCGGCUAACUCCGUGCCAGCAGCCGCGGUAAUACGGAGGAUCCGAGCGUUAUCCGGAAUCAUUGGGUUUAAAGGGUCCGUAGGCGGUUUUGUAAGUCAGUGGUGAAAUCCGGCAGCUCAACUGUCGAACUGCCAUUGAUACUGCAGGACUUGAAUUACUGUGAAGUAACUAGAAUAUGUAGUGUAGCGGUGAAAUGCUUAGAUAUUACAUGGAAUACCAAUUGCGAAGGCAGGUUACUAACAUUAUAUUGACGCUGAUGGACGAAAGCGUGGGGAGCGAACAGGAUUAGAUACCCUGGUAGUCCACGCCGUAAACGAUGGAUACUAGCUGUUUGGUUGUAAGACUGAGUGGCUAAGCGAAAGUGAUAAGUAUCCCACCUGGGGAGUACGGGCGCAAGCCUGAAACUCAAAGGAAUUGACGG